AAGUUAGGGCAGACGUAUCCCUUUCAUCUGGUUGUCUCUGAAGUUUCUGAAGGAGAGUGAGUAUUACGUUCCUGGGACAGUCCCAGUUACCAAUGGCACUUGUGAAAACAGUACUUUAAGAUCUCUCCAAGGGGUGAGGUCUACACACUGUGGUGGCCUUAACAACCAUGUAGGACAACAUCCACAGAAACACCACCAUUCCUGCAGUGCCUCAUCAUGGCUCCUAUGGUUACACCUUAGAGACCUGCAACCUGGCUGUGGGCAGCUGACACCAACAGAGCCCACCUCGGGCAUGAAGUACUGACUACAUCCGUGAGCUUCAAACACAGCAACUGAAGAAGCCUCUGGUGGAAAACAUCAACGGGCACAAAUACAGACAGGAGAGUUCCAGGUUUAUCCUAGCCCCACUUCUGUUGUGGAGAUAAAACACCCUGACGAGAA